AUGUGUGGGACUCAUGAUCAGAGAAUCUUGAUUCUCGAUCAUAGAGUCUCAGAUAUGUAGGACUCAUAGUCUCUGAAUAUUAGAACUCUUCAUCAGCCAUCAGAUCAGAUAGAAACCUCUAAUGUGUGUGACCCCACAGGUUCGAACCUAAGCCGAUAGCACAGGAACCAAUUCUUGUACUAAUCGAAGUGACCAUCUAGCAAUGGUACCCGACAUCCAGAUAGGUCGAAUAGUC
rnacentral:lncRNA from 1 species